rnacentral:rRNA from 1 species
AAUCAACGCUGGCGGCGUGCCUCAGACAUGCAAGUCGAACGCGAAAGUUCCCUUCGGGGAAUAAGUAGAGUGGCGCACGGGUGAGUAACACGUAGGUAAUCUACCUUCGGGUGGGGAAUAACCCAGGGAAACUUGGGCUAACACCGCAUGAUGCAGCGGCACCACAUGGUGACAGUUGUUAAAGCGGGGGAUUUUCGGACCUCGCGCCUGAAGAGGAGCCUGCGGCGGAUUAGCUAGUUGGUGAGGUAACGGCUCACCAAGGUGACGAUCCGUAGCCGGCCUGAGAGGGCGGUCGGCCACACUGACACUGACAUACGGGUCAGACUCCUACGGGAGGCAGCAGUCGGGAAUUUUGGGCAAUGGGCGAAAGCCUGACCCAGCAACGCCGCGUGAAGGNUAGAAAUCCCUCGGGAUGUAAACUUCGCAAGAAUGGGAAGAAUUAGCGAGCGCUAAUACCGCUCGUGAUGACGGUACAUUUGUAAGCUCCGGCUAACUCCGUGCCAGC